AUAAAGUUUUAUUCUUGCUUUUAUAUUUUCUUGUUCUUUAUAUUAUAUGUAAGUUUGGUUAAAACUAAAUGUUCUGUUUAGCAGUAAUUUAAUUUAAUUAUCAAGUGAUUUUGGAAUUAGUAAUUGAUUUAAUAUUGACAUAUUUCGUGCCAGCAGUCGCGGUUAUACGAUUAAUAUAAGUGAAUAUUUUUGGUUUAAAAGUUAUUUAUAUUUUUGAGUUAAUUUAAUUUUUUAUAGGGUGAAAUCUAAAUAUUUUUUGUGUCUCUUUUUAUGAAUCUUUGAAACUUAAAUUUAAAACUAGGAUUAGAUACCCUAUUAUUUUAAGUGUUAAUUUUUCUUGCCUGGGUAUUAUUAGUUAAUAUCUUAAAACCCAAAGAAUUUGGCGGUAUUUUAUUCCAUUCAGAGGAACCUAUCUCGUUAUUGAUAAUACACGAUUUACUUUACUUAAUUUAUUUAUUUGUAUAUCUCCGUUAUCAGAAAAUCUUUUUAGGGUUAUAAUUUUCUUAAUUUAUAAUUUUAUAUUAUUUCAGGUCAAGGUGCAGUUUAUAGUUAAGAUGAGGAUGGGUUACAAUAUAUUUAUAUAUACGGAUUUAAUGUUGGAAUUUAUUAAUGAAGGUGGAUUUGAUAGUAAUUUGAAUUAUUUAAUUUGUUUGAUAUUGGCUCUAAGGUGUGUACACAUCGCCCGUCGCUCUCACCAUAUAUUUGUAUUUAUUUAUAAAUGAGAUAGGUGAGAUAAGUCGUAACAUAGUAGAUGUACUGGAAAGUGUAUCUAGUAAGAAUU
rnacentral:ncRNA from 1 species